UACGAAGGGGGGCUAGCGUUGUUCGGGAAUCACUGGGCGUAAAGGGCGCGUAGGCGGCUUUAUAAGUCGGGGGUGAAAGCCUGCGGCUCAACCACAGAAUUGCCUUCGAUACUGUAGAGCUUGAGACCGGAAGAGGUUAGUGGAACUGCGAGUGUAGAGGUGAAAUUCGUAGAUAUUCGCAAGAACACCAGUGGCGAAGGCGGCUGCUGGUCCGGUUCUGACGCUGAGGCGCGAAAGCGUGGG
rnacentral:rRNA from 1 species